rnacentral:rRNA from 1 species
ACCCGCACAAGCGGAGGAACAUGUGGUUUAAUUCGAUGAUACGCGAGGAACCUUACCUGGGCUUAAAUGGGGAGUGACAGCUGUCGAAAGAUGGUUUUCUUCGGACACUCUUCAAGGUGCUGCAUGGUUGUCGUCAGCUCGUGCCGUGAGGUGUCGGGUUAAGUCCCAUAACGAGCGCAACCCUUACCGUUAGUUACCAUCAGGUUAAGCUGGGGACUCUAGCGGGACUGCCACCGUAAGGUGAGAGGAAGGUGGGGAUGACGUCAAAUCAGCACGGCCCUUAUGUCCAGGGCUACACACGUGUUACAAUGGCCAGUACAAAGGGCAGCGACACAGCGAUGUGAAGCGAAUCCCGAAAAGCCGGUCUCAGUCCGGAUUGGAGUCUGCAACUCGACUCCAUGAAGUUGGAAUCGCUAGUAAUCGUGGAUCAGCAUGCCACGGUGAAUACGUUCCCGGGCCUU